AGGUGACCUCGAAUCAGGAGGAGUACCCGCUGAAUUAGCAUUUCAUAAGCGAGGAACUGUUACCACUUUUCUUCCAA
rnacentral:rRNA from 1 species